rnacentral:lncRNA from 1 species
UUUUAUCGAACAGCAUUUAUAAAAUUCGUAGGUCAUCUGUAUAUAUUUUUAGAUGAUUCGCAUAUAAUUAAUGGCUUGAACUGUCAAUACUUUUCGGUGUCAUUCUAGGUGAAAUUAAUAUGCCAUGGUACAUACAGUUAGUGUGGGUUCUUGUUUGAGACGAUUAAUGGUAUAGCCCUCAGUGUAACCGUGGGAUUCUACAGCGCGCUUGAACUUUGUAAGUACAUUGGCAAAUGCAGACCUUUUAGCUGAUUGCAAUAAUAUGAUGUUAUACAAAGUCACAACAUACAUAAUACCGAGUGAUUUAAGGAGGUAGACCUAGAAUAAGGGAAACUGUUUUAGGUAAGGCUUAAAUUAAAAUAUUGUUUGUUUGCCCUUUACCGACCGACCCUGUCAAUUCGUUCCGCCUGAAAAUCUUUUAUUUGUAUUUACCAGCAAGAUUUUAUUUUUAUUUAUCUUUUCGUUCCUACCAAAAAUCUUAUAUUUGUAUUUCCCGCUCAAAACUGUUUUACCGGAAUCCUCGGGUUUUAUCUUUACCGUAUAAGGUCUAGUCCGUUUGGUAUCUCGUGAGCGUUUAACAUGAACACUUGCAUAUAGAGUUUCAAAGCAUUUGUUUGAAAUCGAUGUUGAACGCUUUGAGAAAACAUGAUGAUAUGACGUUAGCUGCGAAAACGUAGCUCUUAAGGUCCUUUUGAUGAUUUUUGAUAUUUGCGGACCAUAGAUCUAUGGCAAAAAAAAAAAUCAAAGGACAAUAGAGCUACGUUUUUCGCAGCUAGAUAUGACGUACGUUACUCUGUAUCUUUAUACUUGGAGAGCAGGGUUCACUUACAAAAAAGUUCGUUUAAUGCAAAAUUAUCAACGUGUGUACAAACUUUUUUGUAAACGGACGUUGUAUUCUAUGUACAGUAGGGAUGGCCUUUUGUGAUCCGUAGAUCAGGAUGAUUAUGUUAAAGAUGCCUUCGACCAGCAUUGCUGUAUUAUUUAUAUCUGACAUGAACCAAAGGUGGCAAAAGCCUGUAAAGUGGAGAAUAUUUGGCAGUAAAAGCUCCCAAGUUUUCCAAACAGAUCAUUUAUAAAUUGCGAUGUAGAAUACGUACCCGAAUGGAAUAGACUACCAGAAUCUCGUUUGUGCUAAGACAAUUGAGAGCUUUAAACUUCGGUUGCUCUCACAACGUUGGAUUAAUUUUCCAGCGCCUCUCUCCCAUUGCCACUGAUGCCAUAUAUACUGGCCCUGCAACGUACUUAUUCAGAUUUAUACUAAUAGUCCCAUCAACUUAUUAGCAAAAGCAAAACAGACAAAAAUGACAUUAUGCAGAUUUUGUAUAUUAUGUCUCUUGUCACUUGUGUAUACAAUGUACUAUGUUUGCAUUUUAACCCGUCAGGGUUUCAUGUUUUUUUGCAAUAUAAAAUAAAAUAUUAUACCUACCUGCCUACCCAUGACAAAAAAUAUAUCGAGCCAAAUUAUUUUUUUUGGGAAAAAAAUAAAAUAUUUUACCUACCUACCUACCCUGUUUCAAAACAUAGGGUCGGAAAAGGGCAAACAAACAAUAUUUUAAUUGGUGUCUUCUCAUUUAUCCAACUUUUUAAAAUAAUGUAUUCUCAUUUAGCCAACUUUUUAUUUUGUUAAUUAUUGGGUUGUUUGUUUAGUAUUAAUAAGGUGUCUUUCUAAAAUUUGACAGUAAAUUUGUUCCUGUAUGUUUUUAUAUUAUUUAAAAAAAUAUAUAUAUAAUAGGCGAUAGUAAACUUGUUAUAUUUUAUUUUGAAAUAAAAUUUAGUAUAUUUUUAAUAAUAAGUAAUGAAGAACUGGAUCUUUCAUCACUGUAUUGGAUACCUAAACUACAUAAGUGUCCUUAGAAACAACGGUAUAUUGCUAGGUCUUCCUAGUGCUCCACGAAACCUUUUUCUAGAUUAUAAACAUUUAUUUUAUCAGCAAUCAAAGCCAGGCUUCAAAGUUAUUGUAAAACUGCCUAUUCUAGAGGUGGCGUGAAUCAGAUGCGGAUACUAAAAAGUCUUUUAGAGUACUUACAAUCUAACUCUCUUUCAUCUUGCAAGUUUUAAAACAUUUGACUUUUCAGGGGCGAAUGCAGGAAUUUUCGAAAGGGGGGGGUGCUAACCCAGGGCACCCAGGUCAAAGGGGGGGUGCAAAACAUAUGUCCCGAUACAAAUGCAUUGAUCGGCAAAAAUAAAGGGGGGGUGCGCACCCCCGGACCCCCCCCCCCUGGAUCCACCACUGCUUUUCUACACUUUACACAAGUAUUCCACAUUCCAAACUAAAAGACAAAUUGAAAGAGUUGGUAUUGCUUUGUUUUAUAAAAAAAGAAUGGUCAACGUAGAGACAAGUAUCUUGUCUUAGGGACCAGUUAAACAAAGCUCAUCCUAAUCUGUUCCUCAUCAUACAGAAGCUUCAGAAAUUGACUCAUCCAGUAUACCGCAGGGGGGAAAUGCAAGACUCGCAAGUUAAAGUACCGCAACAUAGACAACAGACUGACCCAACUUAAACUUAGACUACAGCAAUGUAGAUCAACGUAUAUCACUACACUGAUGCAGUAUCCCAACUACUUAAACUAGGAUGAAGAUCUACUGAACAUUCCUUUGGUGUGUGCUAUGGAUAUUUCUGUGCUACGUUCUUUAACCAUUGUGCUUGCAUUACUAUUUAAAAAAAAUGUAUGAUGUGUGUAUCUACUGAACAUUUCUUUAGUGCCAUUGUAUGUUUUGUGAAUCUACUGAACAUUCAUUUAGUCACGGUCUGCUAUUGAUAUUUCUAUGCCAGUAUUUUAUAACCAUUGUGCUUGAAUUGCUUUUGCUUUUGUUUAUAUAUAUAUUUUUUGUUCUGUUCAGUUUUAACAUGCUAUGCUAAAUAAUACUACAGAAAAUUUAAUCUGGGUAUAAUUUUCAGUCUUAUUUUUCACCUGUCAUUAAACCCAAACUCUAAUUGAACAACCCUUUGUUCUUGAUUACCUUUGAUCUCGUCUAUCCAACUUUUUUUUUUACCUGUACUACCUAUAAUUUUAAAAAGUUGGAUAAAUGAGAAUGAACCUUUUAAUUUAGGCCUAAAUGCUUAAGUAAACAUACAUUGAUAAAACUUUACUUUUACAAACGCAUCACUGAUUUAAAGAGUUAUCUCCCUGAACCAAGGUAUACAUUUAAUGUUCAUUAUCACUGAGCUAGUAUAUAUUUGUUUAGGGGCCAGCUGAAGGACGGCUCCGGGUGCUGGAAUUUCUCGCUACAUUGAAGACCUGUUGGUGACCUUCUGCUGUUGUUUUUUCUAUGGUAAGGUUGUUGUCUCUUUGACACAUUCCCCAUUUCCAUUCUCAAUUUUAUUUAAUGUGCCAUAAUUAUGCGUAUUGCGAUUUAUUCAUUUAUUGUGUUGCUGGAAAUCAAAUAUUUGAAGUAAACAAAAAAUCUGAGAGCUUUUCGCACUCGUACAUCGAAUUGAUCAAACAGCCUUAAGAACAAAUAGGAGUAACAAUUCUGGUUGACAUAAAAGUUAUGUAACACUAGACAUGCUUAAAUCUUCUUGAUUUAUUUUUAGCUACGCAUCCAGCAAGCAUCAAGUUCCACGCCAUCAAUUCUGUCUACGUCAUCCUGAACUUGUCUGUAUGCGCAAAAGUGAUAAAUCUAUUCCACGUGAUAUAUCCAAUGAUAUUCGGCAUUGUGUUCGUCACUUUAACAAUAAUAAAUCAACUUGGAUUUGAAAAGGAUUAAAUAUAUCCUAUACUAGACUUGAAUGAGAUAUAUCCUACAGCCGUUACUGUGGCAGUGUUGAUUUUUGUUGGAACUCCAAUUCUACAUCUGGUUCUAUUUGGAUUAUACAAACUGCGCAUCUUCGUCGCAAGAAGCUGUUGGCCAUAGCGAUCAAGUAGAAAACAGCAUUGAGAUCGAUACUGUGUAUGACAGUCAGAGAAAAAGAGACGAAAAUGUUUGAAAAACAAUCAUACAAGAUUUUUAUUUUCUUUAUCCCGACUCGUCCUUCAUUCAUAAGUAAAGACACCAAAACAAAAAUACAUCAACAUAUUGCAUGUUUGUUCUUGUCUUUCAUUCUUAUCAAAUAUAUUAUUUAUCCUCCAAAUGAAAUAAAUUUUGUUUUGUGGUCCUUUUUAUUAAUACCUCAUAACGUAACCCCG